CCUUGCUCUCUUGACCUAGAAAUAUGAGAGAAACUGUUCAAACUCCCUAGUUGUGUCUACAAAGAGCCAUGAGCCUCUGGAGGGAGAGGAAAAGAGGUCAAGAAUGAAUAUUUCCCAUUAGCACAGAAGACUUUGAGAGCCCUCUCAUCUUUUUCUCUGAAGCUGUAGGGAGUUCUGUUUCCUUUCACCAGUGCUCCAUGUUGCAGGACCCAAAGUGAAUUUUUGGGGAACUCAGGGAAGAUGAGAGCUGAUCCAAGAUUCCGCACUAACCUCCAUAGCCACAGUAUUCAGAAAUCAAGCAUCUGGGUUCAGAAAUGAUGACGUGCUUUAGUGAAGCAUGUGGUUAAAGGGCCAGAGCAUGGAAUUCUUCCCAGCGUCACAGAAGAUGGCACAGCCUGGGGACAAUCGGGAAUCACCUGGAGGAUGGCAGGUAGCACUGUUAUAUUUACUUAAAAAUUUGGCCAGGCAUGGUGGUUCACCCCUGUAAUCCAGCACUUUGGGAGGCCAAGAUGGGAGGAUAGCUUGAAGCCUGGAGUUUGAGACCAGCCUGGGCAACAAAAUGAGACCUUAUCUCUGAAAAGAUUUAAUCUUUUAAAAAAAUUUUUUAAAUUU
rnacentral:lncRNA from 1 species